UGCAGUCGAACGAAGGCCCUGGCUUGCCAGGAUCACCUUAGUGGCGAACGGGUGAGUAACGCGUGGGUAUCUGCCCUGGAGUAAGGAAUAACCAUUGGAAACGAUGGCUAAUACUGUAUACGCCUUACGAGGGAAAGGCUUCGGCCGCUCUGGGAUGAGCCCGCGUCAGAUUAGCUUGUUGGUGGGGUAAUGGCCUACCAAGGCUAUGAUCUGUAGCUGGUCUGAGAGGACGACCAGCCACACUGGGACUGAGACACGGCCCAGACUCCUAUGGGAGGCAGCAGUGGGGAAUAUUGGACAAUGGGGGAAACCCUGAUCCAGCAAUGCCGCGUGUGUGAUGAAGGUCUUAGGAUUGUAAAGCACUUUCGCCCGUGAAGAUGAUGACUGUAACGGGAGAAGAAGCCCCGGCUAACUCCGUGCCAGCAGCCGCGGUAAUACGGAGGGGGCUAGCGUUGUUCGGAAUUACUGGGCGUAAAGAGCGUGCAGGCGGUUUGUCUAGUCAGAGGUGAAAUCCCCAGGCUUAACCUGGGAACUGCCUUUGAAACUGACAGACUAGAGACCGGAAGAGGGUAGUGGAAUUCCCAGUGUAGAGGUGAAAUUCGUUAAUAUUGGGAAGAACACCAGUGGCGAAGGCGACUACCUGGUCCGGAUCUGACGCUGAGGCGCGAAAGCGUGGGGAGCAAACAGGAUUAGAUACCCUGGUAGUCCACGCCGUAAACGAUGAGUGCUAGGCGUUGGGGAUCUUA
rnacentral:rRNA from 1 species